UCCCGUUUAGCUCAGCUGGUAGAGCGCGUCACUAGUAUUAUUUAUGUAAUACGGCAAUGACGAGGUCAGUCGUUCAAGUCGGCUAAUGGGAA